GAGGAAGGGGUGUAGGAAGCAGGCUGGCUAUGCAUCAUGUGGAAGCAGCCCGGACUGCGGCACUGUUUUCACAGCCCUUCACACGCAGCAGAGCCCAUCCUCCCCGUGUAGCUCUUUCAGUUCCACUAGAUGUCAGUUCAUCAGACGUCUUUUAGUCUGAAAAGGUGAAAUAUUGGAAAAUGGAAUCACCUCAAACAUGCUGUGAACAGGGUCAUCAAAACCUUGAAGCCAUGAAGGCAGGCAUGUUUCUGCGCAAGGUUAAGUCUCGUAUGUGGAAGCGUCUGAGGCACUACAAACUUCAGGAGGAUUGCAAGACUAUCGCAUAUAAAUCCAGCUGGGCAAUAACCUCUUAUUCUACCUUCUCCAUCAGUGAUGUGGAGGCUGUUCGCGAGGGACAUCAGUCCGAGGCGCUCCUCAAUGUGGCAGAUGAUUUUCCUGCUGACCGCUGUUUCACUCUGGUGUUUCGCGGCCGUAGGGGAAACCUGGACCUGGUGGCUGAUUCAGCGAAGGAAGCUCAGGCCUGGAUUCAGGGCAUCAGAGUCCUUAUGGAGAACAUGGAGAACAUGGAUGAGAGCACCAAACUUGACCAAUGGAUCUCAGACUGGUUUUUGAAAGCAGAUCUAAACAAGGAUGGCAGAAUAAAUUUUAAGGAGGCAAAAAAAUUACUGAAAAUGAUGAACGUGGACAUGAAUGAAGAACAUGCAUGCUGUCUUUUUAGGAUGGCAGAUAAGUCUGAGUCAGGAACCCUGGAGGACCAGGAGUUUGUGGAGUUCUACAAAAUGCUUACAGAGAGAACAGAGGUGCUGGACUUAUUCCAGGAUUAUUCCAGUGAUGGACAGAGUCUGUCCCAGUGUGAUUUGGAGGAAUUCCUGAGAGAGGAGCAGCUAGAGGGGGAGGGCAGUUAUGAACAUGCCCUUCAGCUGAUCGAUUGCUAUGAGCCUUCAGACACAGCCAGAAAGAAUCACUCGAUGUCAGUCGAUGGGUUCUUAAUGUACCUGACGUCUCCUGAGGGAUCCAUCUUCAAUCCAGAGCGGCAGGGCCUUUUUCAGGACAUGAGCCAACCUCUGGCCCACUAUUACAUCUCCUCAUCACACAACACUUAUCUGAUGGAGGACCAGCUAAAAGGACCAAGCAGCGUUGAGGCCUACAUCCAGGCACUGAAACGAGGCUGCAGGUGUGUAGAGGUGGACUGCUGGAAUGGAUCGAAUGGAGAGCCGGUAGUUUAUCAUGGACACACACUGACAUCUAAGAUUCUCCUCAAAGAUGUGAUUACUACUAUUGCAAAUUAUGCCUUCAAGGCAUCUGAGUAUCCGCUCAUCGUGUCCAUUGAAAACCACUGCAGCAUAGAGCAACAGGAAGUCAUGGCUCGAUAUUUCAGAGACAUUCUGGGUGAUAUGCUACUGACGAACACAGUAGAGGGAGUCUCCAGCAAACUGCCAUCCCCAGAGGCACUUAAGAGGAAAAUCUUGUUGAAAGGAAAGAAGAUUGGAAACGAGUCAGAGAGCCCCACAGGUGAAGUCAGCGAUGAGGACGAGGCAGCAGAAAUGAAUAAGGACAGUCCGGCAUCAGAGAGUCUGCCAACAGAUAGUAAGAAAUCGAAGCAAAAUCUAUGCAAGGAGCUCUCAGACCUAAUGUUCUGUAAGAGCAUACAUUUCCACAGCUUUGAGCAUUCCCGCAUGUCUGCUAAGCCUAAUGAGAUGUCGUCAUUCUCCGAGUCUAAAGCCCGUAAAUAUUCAAAGGAAGCAGGUUCAGAUUUUGUGCUGCAUAACACCAGGCAGCUGACAAGAGUGUAUCCAAGUGGAAUGAGAACGGAUUCAUCAAAUUACUGUCCAGUAGACAUAUGGAACAUGGGAUGCCAGAUUGUGGCAUUAAACUUCCAGACAGCAGGGGUGGAAAUGGAUCUUAAUGAUGGGUUGUUUACUCAGAAUGGAUGCAGUGGCUACAUCCUAAAAUCUGAGAUCCUUCGCAAAAAGGAGAGACUCUUUUAUCCUGAAAAUCCUGAGGAACGUGAAGAUUACCACCCUCUACUGUUCUCUGUUAAGGUUAUUAGUGGACAACAGCUCCCUAAAGUAAAGCAAAAAGAUUGGUCCAUUGUAGACCCCCUGGUAAGGGUGGAAAUUUAUGGCGUUCCUUUGGAUCAAGUCAAACAGGAGACCAAAUACAUUGACAACAAUGGAUUCAACCCACAUUGGAAUGAAACCUUACAGUUCACAAUCCACACCCCUGAGCUGGCACUGGUGCGUUUUGUAGUUGAAGACUAUGAUAAAGCAUCAAGGAAUGACUUCAUAGGGCAAUAUACUCUACCUUUUACCUGUAUUCAACCAGGAUAUCGUCAUGUGCAUCUGUUGUCCAAAGACGGAACGAGUAUCCAUCCAUCCUCCAUCUAUGUUCAUAUCAAAAUCACAGAGCUGUAAUUUCACAAUUCUAGGAGUUUUAUUUGCAAUGCUUGAAACGUGUUCUGAAGAGCUAAUAUUUUUCAGACAAAUCUGUAGUUUGCUUUAAAAAGGUUAUACAGUCAAGGCAGAAUGGUUGAAUUAAAGGAACUGAGCAUGGUAUAGUGCCUUUUAUAAAUAACC